rnacentral:rRNA from 1 species
UAAGGAAUAUUGCGCAAUGGGCGAAAGCCUGACGCAGCGACGCCGCGUGGGGGAUGAAGGUCUUCGGAUUGUAAACCCCUUUCGGGAGGGAAGAUGGAACGAGCAAUCGUUCGGACGGUACCUCCAGAAGCAGCCACGGCUAACUUCGUGCCAGCAGCCGCGGUAAUACGAAGGUGGCAAGCGUUAUUCGGAUUUACUGGGCGUACAGGGAGCGUAGGCGGUUCGGUAAGCCCUCUGUGAAAUCUCCAGGCUUAACCUGGAACAGUCGGAGGGGACUGCUGGGCUAGAGGACGGGAGAGGAGCGCGGAAUUCCCGGUGUAGCGGUGAAAUGCGUAGAGAUCGGGAGGAAGGCCGGUGGCGAAGGCGGCGCUCUGGAACGUUUCUGACGCUGAGGCUCGAAAGCGUGGGGAGCAAACAGGAUUAGAUACCCUGGUAGUCCACGCCUUAAACUAUGAAUACUAAGUGUCGGCGGUUUACCGCCGGUGCCGCAGCUAACGCAUUAAGUAUUCCGCCUGGGAAGUACGGCCGCAAGGUUG